UGGUCGUGCACGCUGAUGCCA
rnacentral:misc_RNA from 1 species